rnacentral:miRNA from 1 species
UGCAUUUUUUGGUAAGACGAUGUUAACAAAAGUUGUUCGUCUUGAUGAGGACUACAACUUUGCUUAAUAUCCUUUUAACAAAUUAUGCGUAUUUAAGAAGAUAGCGCUGCGCAUGCGCAGAACGUAACUCCUUACGCUUGCAUUUUUUGGUAAGACGAUGUUAACAAAAGUUGUUCGUCUUGAUGAUGGCUACAACUUUGCUUAAUAUCCUUUUAACAAAUGAUGCG